GACGAACGCUGGCGGCGCGCUUAACACAUGCAAGUCGAACGGAAAGGCCUGCUUUCCCUUGUGGAUUGCGGGUACUCGAGUGGCGAACGGGUGAGUAACACGUGAGUGAUCUGCCCCCAACUUGGGUAUAAGCCUGGGAAACUGGGUCUAAUUCCCGAUAGGACUGCAGGGUGGUGCCUGUGGUGGAAAACGAUUUUCUAGUGGUUGGGGAUGAGCUCGCGGCCUAUCAGCUUGUUGGUGGGGUAAUGGCCUACCAAGGCGGCGACGGGUAGCCGGCCUGGGAGGGUGGACGGCCACAUUGGGACUGAGAUACGGCCCAGACUACUACGGGAGGCAGCAGUGGGGAAUAUUGCACAAUGGGCGGAAGCCUGAUGCAGCGACGCCGCGUGGGGGAUGACGGCCUUCGGGUUGUAAACUCCUUUCGACCGCGAGGAAGCCACCUGGUUGGAAGGGUGGUGACGGUAGUGGUAGAAGAAGCACCGGCUAACUACGUG
rnacentral:rRNA from 1 species